GUGACUAUAGAGAAAGAAAAGUGGAAUUUUUAUUGAGAAUUGAUAACUCCCUUAAUAGCUUGAUGAUCUCCUCGGUUUGGUCUCAGUGCGGCAGCAGCUUCAUCGACAGGGAAUCCGUGGUGGUGUCACGUGCGGACCGACGAUGGGACUCUGAUUAUGGGUUGCUCGACAAAGCCUGCUGGUCCAGUAAUUCUUGGCCAGGGAAGGAACAACUCACUGUGGGGACUUCUCGAUGGAGGCUUGGUG
rnacentral:lncRNA from 1 species